rnacentral:tRNA from 1 species
GAGGGUGUAGCUCAGGGGUAGAGUGUGUGCUUAGCAUGCACGAGGUCCUGGGUUCAAUCCCCAGUACCUCCA